rnacentral:rRNA from 1 species
GACGAACGCUGGCGGCGUGCUUAACACAUGCAAGUCGAACGGAAAGGCCCUGCUUGCAGGGUACUCGAGUGGCGAACGGGUGAGUAACACGUGGGUGAUCUGCCCUUCACUUCGGGAUAAGCUUGGGAAACUGGGUCUAAUACCGGAUAGGAGCCAUCUUUAGUGUGGUGGUUGGAAAGUUUUUUCGGUGUAGGAUGAGCUCGCGGCCUAUCAGCUUGUUGGUGGGGUAAUGGCCUACCAAGGCGGCGACGGGUAGCCGGCCUGAGAGGGUGUACGGCCACAUUGGGACUGAGAGACGGCCCAGACUCCUACGGGAGGCAGCAGUGGGGAAUAUUGCACAAUGGGCGCAAGCCUGAGGCAGCGACGCCGCGUGGGGGAUGAAGGCCUUCGGGUUGUAAACUCCUUUCGCUAGGGACGAAGCGUUUUUGUGACGGUACCUAGAGAAGAAGCACCGGCUAACUACGUG